UACAGAGGGGGCAAGCGUUAUUCGGAAUUAUUGGGCGUAAAGGGCGCGUAGGCGGCUUGGCAAGUGGAUGGUGAAAUCCCUCGGCUUAACCGAGGAACUGCCGUCCAAACUGCUUCGCUUGAGACCGGGAGAGGUGAGUGGAAUUCCUAGUGUAGCGGUGAAAUGCGUAGAUAUUGGGAGGAACACCAGUGGCGAAGGCGGCUCACUGGACCGGUACUGACACUGAGGCGCGAAAGCGUGGGGAGCGAACAGG
rnacentral:rRNA from 1 species